CCUACGGGGGGCAGCAGUGAGGAAUAUUGGUCAAUGGACGAGAGUCUGAACCAGCCAAGUAGCGUGAAGGAUGACUGCCCUAUGGGUUGUAAACUUCUUUUAUAAAGGAAUAAAACGAGGCACGUGUGCCUUUUUGCAUGUACUUUAUGAAUAAGGAUCGGCUAACUACGUGCCAGCAGCCGCGGUAAUACGGAGGAUCCGAGCGUUAUCCGGAUUUAGUGGGUGUAAAGGGAGCGUAGAUGGGUUGGUAAGGCAGUUGUGAAAGUUUGCGGCUCAACCGUAAAAUUGCAAUUGAUACUGGCAGUCUUGAGUACAGUUGAGGUAGGCGGAAUUCGUGGUGUAGCGGUGAAAUGCUUAGAUAUCACGAAGAACCCCGAUUGCGAAGGCAGCUUACUAAACUGUGACUGACAUUGAUGCUCGAAAGUGUGGGUAUCAAACAGGAUUAGAUACCCUAGUAGUC
rnacentral:rRNA from 1 species